UACGGAGGGUGCGAGCGUUGUCCGGAAUCAUUGGGCGUAAAGAGCGUGUAGGCGGCUCGGUAAGUCCGCUGUGAAAGUCCAGGGCUCGACCCUGGAAUGCCGGUGGAAACUGUCGAGCUAGAGUCCGGAAGAGGCGAGUGGAAUUCCUGGUGUAGCGGUGAAAUGCGCAGAUAUCAGGAGGAACACCAAUGGCGAAGGCAGCUCGCUGGGACGGUACUGACGCUGAGACGCGAAAGCGUGGGGAGCAAACAGG
rnacentral:rRNA from 1 species